ensembl:lncRNA
GCAGGAUUCUCUUCCCCAGGAUCCCCUGUCAGGAUUCCCCGGGAUCCCUCAGCAGGAUUCCCCAGUGGGAUCCCUCAGCAGGAUUCCCUGGGAUCCCCUGUCAGGAUUCCCCAGGAUCUCAGCAGGAUUCUUGGGAUCUCUCAGCAGGAUUCCCCUGUGGGAUCUCCCAGCAGGAUUCCUGGGAUCUCAGCAGGAUUCCCCGGGAUCUCAGCAGGAUUCCCCAGUGGGACCCCUCAGCAGGAUUCCCUGGGAUCCCCUGUCAGGAUUCCCCGGGAUCGCAGCAGGAUUUCUGGGAUCUCUCAGCAGGAUUCCUGGGAUCUCUCAGCAGGAUUCCCCGGGAUCUCAGCAGGAUUCCCUGGGAUCCCCUGUCAGGAUUCCCCGGGAUCUCAGCAGGAUUUCUGGGAUCUCUCAGCAGGAUUCCCCGGGAUCUCAGCAGGAUUUCUGGGAUCUCUCAGCAGGAUUCCCCGGGAUCUCAGCAGGAUUCCUGGGAUCCCCCAUCAGGAUCCCCCGGGAUCCCCCACGGGGAUCAGUCGGGUUUCCGGCCCAGCCUGCGGAAGACGCUGAGGCUCCCGCAGGAGCUGCUGACCCGGCCCGGCCGCGGAGAUCCCGAACCGGAACCGGAACCGGAUCCGGAACCAAAACCCGAACCGGAACCGGAUCCGGAACCAGAAUGAAAACCUGAACCGGAUCCGGAACUGGAACCAAAACCUGACCCAAAACCCGAACCGGAACCGGAUCCGGAAUGAAAACCUGAACUGGAUCCGGAACCGGAACCGGAACCAAAACCCGACCCGGAACCGGAUCUGGAUCCGGAAGCAGAAUGAAAACCGGAAGCGGAUCCGGAAGCGGAUCCGGAGCUGGACACGGCGGUGUCCUGCGGCUCGGCGCCGCUGCCGGCCGCGCGCUCGCGGCGCCGUUUCAGCACGCCGGCGUAGGGCAGAGCCUCGGCGUCGCCGGCGGGAUCCACGCCGGGAUCCACCCGAUCAACAACGGGAUCGGCGACGGGAUCGGGGCCGGCCGGAGCCUCCCCCAGGCGGCUGAAAACUCCCGAGGGCUGCGGGGAGAGGGAAGGGAUCGGGAUCGGGAUCCAGCCGGGGUUCCUGCUCUGAUCUCUGGAUCCUGAGCCCAUGGAUCCUCUGGAUCCUGCUUUCCCUAGAUCCUGGAUCCCUUCCCCCACUGGAUCCCACCCCCGAGGGGUCCUGGCCCCAUCCUGGAUCCCUCUGGAUCCCCCCAGAUCCCUCUGGAUCCCCCCAGAUCCCCCCUGGAAUCCCCCCCNGAGGGCGCCGUCCGCCGCAAUUAAAAGCUGAUUUGCAUAUAUUUAAAUGAGGCCGCGUUCUUUUUUUAACAGCGCAAACGCCGCUUUCACUCUUUUUAUUGCCAAAAUCUCGAGGAAGCUCCCGCGAGAAGCGGAAAAAGCGGGGGAGGAGCCACGCGAAGCGCGGUGAAAACGCAAAUUUUGGGGAAAAUUCCCCAAAUCCAAGGGAAAAAAAAAAAAGCUCCAAAACAAAAGGAAAAAGCCCCAAAUUUAUCUCGCUGUUAAUUAAAAACAGCCCCGGGGGCUCUCCCGGCUCCAUCCCGGUGGGAAAAAAGCAGAAUUUGGGGGGGAUUUGGGGGAAAUUGAGGAAUUUUGGGGGUUCUGGGAUGAGCUGGAGCCAAAAAUCCACGGGAAUUAAGGCAAAUCUGGGAUUUGUUGUGAGCACCCGUCGUGGUUUUUUGGGAAGGAUUUUGGGGGUUUUUUUUGGGGGGAAGUUGUUCCUGAAAUUAUCCCUGGAAGGGGUUAAUUAAUUAUUAAUUAGUUAAUGAUAAAAGCUAUAAAUAAAUGAAUGGGGGAAUUCCCUGGGGGAAAAAAA